rnacentral:rRNA from 1 species
GAUGAACGCUGGCGGCGUGCCUAAUACAUGCAAGUCGAGCGAACAGACGAGGAGCUUGCUCCUCUGACGUUAGCGGCGGACGGGUGAGUAACACGUGGAUAACCUACCUAUAAGACUGGGAUAACUUCGGGAAACCGGAGCUAAUACCGGAUAAUAUAUUGAACCGCAUGGUUCAAUAGUGAAAGACGGUUUUGCUGUCACUUAUAGAUGGAUCCGCGCCGCAUUAGCUAGUUGGUAAGGUAACGGCUUACCAAGGCAACGAUGCGUAGCCGACCUGAGAGGGUGAUCGGCCACACUGGAACUGAGACACGGUCCAGACUCCUACGGGAGGCAGCAGUAGGGAAUCUUCCGCAAUGGGCGAAAGCCUGACGGAGCAACGCCGCGUGAAUGAUGAAGGUCUUCGGAUCGUAAAACUCUGUUAUUAGGGAAGAACAAAUGUGUAAGUAACUAUGCACGUCUUGACGGUACCUAAUCAGAAAGCCACAGCUAACUACGUG